AAGUCGUAACAAGGUCUCCGUUGGUGAACCAGCGGAGGGAUCAUUGCUGGAACAAACGCCCUCACGGGUGCUACCCAGAAACCCUUUGUGAAUACUACUUAAAAAAUGUUGCCUCGGCGCAGGUUGGCCCUUUUACAGGGUCCCUUCUCCCCUAGGGGUUAAGGAGCAGACCCGCCGGCGGCCCUAUAAACUCUUGUUUUUGUAAAAUCAUCUGAGUAAAAAAAUAAAUGAAUCAAAA
rnacentral:misc_RNA from 1 species